UACAGAGGGGGCAAGCGUUGUUCGGAAUUACUGGGCGUAAAGGGCGCGUAGGCGGCCAACUAAGUCAGACGUGAAAGCCCCGGGCUCAACCUGGGAACGGCGCUUGAGACUGGCACGCUCGAGUUCGGGAGAGGAUGGUGGAAUUCCCAGUGUAGAGGUGAAAUUCGUAGAUAUUGGGAAGAACACCGAUGGCGAAGGCAGCCAUCUGGACCGACACUGACGCUGAGGCGCGAAAGCGUGGGGAGCAAACAGG
rnacentral:rRNA from 1 species